rnacentral:rRNA from 1 species
UACGAGUGCCUCAAGCGUUAUCCGGAAUCAUUGGGCGUAAAGGGCGUGUAGGUGGUCUUGUUAGUCUUCCGUUAAAUUCUUCGGCUCAACCGGGGUUCGCGGGGGAAACGGCAAGACUCGAGGACGCGAGAGGUAUGCGGAACUCAUGGUGUAGGGGUGAAAUCCGUUGAUAUCAUGGGGAACACCAAAAGCGAAGGCAGCAUACUGGCGCGCACCUGACACUGAAACACGAAAGCGUGGGUAGCGAAUGGG